GUGGGGAAUCUUCCGCAAUGGACGAAAGUCUGACGGAGCAACGCCGCGUGAGUGAUGAAGGUCUUCGGAUUGUAAAGCUCUGUUAAUCGGGACGAAAGAGCCUACUGUGAAUAAUGCUAGGAAGUGACGGUACCGGAAUAGAAAGCCACGGCUAACUACGUGCCAGCAGCCGCGGUAAUACGUAGGUGGCAAGCGUUGUCCGGAAUUAUUGGGCGUAAAGCGCGCGCAGGCGGAUCUGCCAGUCUGUCUUAAAAGUUCGGGGCUUAACCCCGUGAUGGGAUGGAAACUACAGAUCUAGAGUAUCGGAGAGGAAAGUGGAAUUCCUAGUGUAGCGGUGAAAUGCGUAGAUAUUAGGAAGAACACCAGUGGCGAAGGCGACUUUCUGGACGAAAACUGACGCUGAGGCGCGAAAGCCAGGGGAGCGAACGGGAUUAGAUACCCGUGUAGUCC
rnacentral:rRNA from 1 species